rnacentral:rRNA from 1 species
GAGUUUGAUCGUGGCUCAGAGUGAACGCUGGCGGCAGGCCUAACACAUGCAAGUCGAGCGGCAGCGCGGGGCAACCUGGCGGCGAGCGGCGGACGGGUGAGGAACACAUCGGAAUCUACCCAGUCGUGGGGGAUAACGUAGGGAAACUUACGCUAAUACCGCAUACGACCUGAGGGUGAAAGCAGGGGACCGCAAGGCCUUGCGCGAUUGGAUGAGCCGAUGUCCGAUUAGCUAGUUGGUGAGGUAAAGGCUCACCAAGGCGACGAUCGGUAGCUGGUCUGAGAGGAUGAUCAGCCACACUGGAACUGAGACACGGUCCAGACUCCUACGGGAGGCAGCAGUGGGGAAUAUUGGACAAUGGCGCAAGCCUGAUCCAGCCAUGCCGCGUGUGUGAAGAAGGCCUUCGGUUGUAA